UACGAAGGGUGCAAGCGUUAAUCGGAAUUACUGGGCGUAAAGGGUGCGUAGGCGGCUGUUUAAGUCUGUCGUGAAAUCCCCGGGCUCAACCUGGGAAUGGCGAUGGAUACUGGACAGCUAGAGUGUGUCAGAGGAUGGGGGAAUUCCCGGUGUAGCGGUGAAAUGCGUAGAGAUCGGGAGGAACAUCAGUGGCGAAGGCGGCCAUCUGGGACAACACUGACGCUGAAGCACGAAAGCGUGGGGAGCAAACAGG
rnacentral:rRNA from 1 species